rnacentral:rRNA from 1 species
AUUGAACGCUGGCGGCAUGCCUAACACAUGCAAGUCGAACGGAGAUAGGGGCAACCUUAUUUCAGUGGCGGACGGGUGAGGAAUGCGUCGGAAUCUGCCCUAUGGUGGGGGAUAACACAGGGAAACUUGUGCUAAUACCGCAUAAUGUCGAGAGACCAAAGCAGGGGACCGCAAGGCCUUGCGCGAUAGGAUGAGCCGACGCCCGAUUAGCUUGUUGGUAGGGUAAUGGCCUACCAAGGCGACGAUCGGUAGCUGGUCUGAGAGGAUGAUCAGCCACACUGGGACUGAGACACGGCCCAGACCCCUACGGGAGGCAGCAGUGGGGAAGUAUUGGACAAUGGGCGGCAAGACCUCGAUCCAGCAAUAGCCGCCGUGUGUGAAGAAGGACC